rnacentral:rRNA from 4 species
AGAGUUUGAUCAUGGCUCAGAUUGAACGCUGGCGGCAGGCCUAACACAUGCAAGUCGAGCGGUAGCACAGAGAGCUUGCUCUCGGGUGACGAGCGGCGGACGGGUGAGUAAUGUCUGGGAAACUGCCUGAUGGAGGGGGAUAACUACUGGAAACGGUAGCUAAUACCGCAUAACGUCGCAAGACCAAAGUGGGGGACCUUCGGGCCUCAUGCCAUCAGAUGUGCCCAGAUGGGAUUAGCUGGUAGGUGGGGUAACGGCUCACCUAGGCGACGAUCCCUAGCUGGUCUGAGAGGAUGACCAGCCACACUGGAACUGAGACACGGUCCAGACUCCUACGGGAGGCAGCAGUGGGGAAUAUUGCACAAUGGGCGCAAGCCUGAUGCAGCCAUGCCGCGUGUGUGAAGAAGGCCUUCGGGUUGUAAAGCACUUUCAGCGGGGAGGAAGGCGGUGAGGUUAAUAACCUCACCGAUUGACGUUACCCGCAGAAGAAGCACCGGCUAACUCCGUGCCAGCAGCCGCGGUAAUACGGAGGGUGCAAGCGUUAAUCGGAAUUACUGGGCGUAAAGCGCACGCAGGCGGUCUGUCAAGUCGGAUGUGAAAUCCCCGGGCUCAACCUGGGAACUGCAUUCGAAACUGGCAGGCUAGAGUCUUGUAGAGGGGGGUAGAAUUCCAGGUGUAGCGGUGAAAUGCGUAGAGAUCUGGAGGAAUACCGGUGGCGAAGGCGGCCCCCUGGACAAAGACUGACGCUCAGGUGCGAAAGCGUGGGGAGCAAACAGGAUUAGAUACCCUGGUAGUCCACGCUGUAAACGAUGUCGAUUUGGAGGUUGUGCCCUUGAGGCGUGGCUUCCGGAGCUAACGCGUUAAAUCGACCGCCUGGGGAGUACGGCCGCAAGGUUAAAACUCAAAUGAAUUGACGGGGGCCCGCACAAGCGGUGGAGCAUGUGGUUUAAUUCGAUGCAACGCGAAGAACCUUACCUGGUCUUGACAUCCACAGAACUUUCCAGAGAUGGAUUGGUGCCUUCGGGAACUGUGAGACAGGUGCUGCAUGGCUGUCGUCAGCUCGUGUUGUGAAAUGUUGGGUUAAGUCCCGCAACGAGCGCAACCCUUAUCCUUUGUUGCCAGCGGUUAGGCCGGGAACUCAAAGGAGACUGCCAGUGAUAAACUGGAGGAAGGUGGGGAUGACGUCAAGUCAUCAUGGCCCUUACGACCAGGGCUACACACGUGCUACAAUGGCAUAUACAAAGAGAAGCGACCUCGCGAGAGCAAGCGGACCUCAUAAAGUAUGUCGUAGUCCGGAUUGGAGUCUGCAACUCGACUCCAUGAAGUCGGAAUCGCUAGUAAUCGUAGAUCAGAAUGCUACGGUGAAUACGUUCCCGGGCCUUGUACACACCGCCCGUCACACCAUGGGAGUGGGUUGCAAAAGAAGUAGGUAGCUUAACCUUCGGGAGGGCGCUUACCACUUUGUGAUUCAUGACUGGGGUGAAGUCGUAACAAGGUAACCGUAGGGGAACCUGCGGUUG